CAACAUUCUGUGACAGCGAUGAAUUGGAUGAGAAAUAAUACAGGCUUGGUCUUCAUUGGCAUUUUCAUUAAGACAUUGCGCCUUUGAAAGUGUGGGAGAAAUCAGCAGCUUAUUUGGGUGCUUGAGAGAAACAGCAUGAAGCAGCUUGCGAGCAACAAAAGAAAGGCACCAUGGCAGAGGCUCUGGAAAGCACUACCCUGGCAGCUGGUGUGAAGUGGAGUGAAGCUGGGCAUGGAAAAGGAGAAAAGAAGGUCCAUAACAUUGCAGGCAGAAGGCACUUUGCAAGCCAGCCCGCUAAGGCAUCUAUGGCACUGUGCAGCAAGGCUUAAAGGGAGAGUCCUUUACUGAGACACUGGGACUGGAUCCCAGAGAGACUGUGAAAUCUCACUCCCCACGGACACCCAAAGCUUGACUGGACAAGGCCCUGAGCAGCCCCACCCAAAAGUAGCCUUGUUCUGAGUGCUUUCCAAUAGAUAUUCUUGGAGAGAUCGUCUUUUCCUAGGUUUAUGAAAAGGAACAAGAACAGGCGAGUAAAUUUAUGUAGAAUAUGCAUCUUCAGGGAGUUAUACUUUCACAGCUCUGUAGCCAAGAGUUGCUAGAACAAAGACCCUGUGCCGUCCUGUUUUGAAAAUAAAGAAAUCGACAAAUCUGUUCUUUGGGCCACAGUCACCAGUUCCUCGGUACAUUUGCAAAUGCAGAAACAUAAAGUUGAAUAAUCUGCUUCUCUCAAGACUGCACAUUAGGCAAUUAAGGGGGUAUGUUUGCAGGCAGACACGCUGGGCAUUAGGCACACAACUAUUAACAAUAGUAAGAAUUGGGCAUUUAAUUCCCUUCAUAGGGAUGAAAAUGUAUCUCUGCUGUUUAAUGCAAGCCAGUGUAGUAUUAUGUGAUAAACAUGGAUCAAUAGCAAAGGAUUUUUAAAUUUAGAAUGCUGUUCCUAUACCACAGAAUUGGCAAUAGAGAGUGUUUCCCAGUAAUAGAACCAGUCUACCUUUGCUGAGACAGGAGCAAAGUUAUCUGAGGAAGUAGCAACACUGUCAUUUAUUUUAAUGAGGCUCCAACAAAUGCUGUUUCCGCACUCUUGGGAAGGUUCCAGUAAUGCUAUAAAAAAUGAAAAAGCCCUAACAAAUGCUUGAACAUGUCUGUGUUUAUAUAACCUCAGAUGAUGGCAUAUAUACUCUCAGAUCAGGGCCCUGUGUUCAUGCAGUAGCAGAAUUAUUUAACUGUGUGUGCCUGCCCUUGUUGAAUAUUCAGCUUUUUAGUCCAGCUGAUAAACUGAUUGUCACGUAUCCUUAGGUGAUUCAUCUGUUUGUUGAGCACUAAAACCUCAGAUUCAAACUUCCCCAGAUGGAUAUUGAAAAACCUGUUGCUUUUGGGACAUUAGGGAUUCAUUAUCUUCAUUUCUUUCUAUGGCAUUUUUAUACAACCUUUUGGUUUGCCAGUCCCAUCCCAGUUGGUUGGAUGAAAAAAUCCCCCGAUAAAUCAAUUUUGUUGUGGGGUUUGCCAGUGUGAGUCUGGGGAGAAAGCCAUGCCAAAAGUGAUGCACAGGCUCCAUUUACUUUAAGUUUCUAUUUCAUCAGUUUAGCAAACCCAAUGGGAAAUUUAAUUUCUAAACAUGAACAUUGUUAAAUUGCAGAAGUUGUAUUUAGAUCAAUGCCAAAACUAUUAGACUUCACUGCGAAAAAAUAAUUUUUUGACUAGAAAUAUCAGCAGACUUAUCAGCACUACUUGUGUUAAAUGUAAUAACUGUACUUUAAUGCACUCUUACCUGAUGCUGAAGACCCAGCGUCUACUUCUGACAUUUUGAAAAACCUGAGAUAUUUGUACCUGGAUUUUUACAAAUAUUUUCUUUGUCAGGUAAUCACAAAGUCUGGGUUAGACAGAUAUUUCUGUUAGGGGAGUGCACUUGACCAUUUUUUUCCCCUGUCUGUGCCUCUUUUUCUUCAUGCUAGUGCAAAUUUAUGAUUAGGGAGAGCUUGUUCAAAAAGCCAGUCUGGGAAAAUUAAGAUCUAGAAAAGGAGGAGGGAAAUUUAGAGAAUAUAAACAGAAGAAGCAGCAAAAGGAAAAUUAUGCAAUGGUAUAGAACCAGUAUAAGCAUGUGGUGAAAACCUAAUGUUCUUUUAGCAGGCAUGUUUUUUUGAGUGUGCUAGUUCAGAGUUUCUUUUACAGCAAUGAGUUGUCAUGCCUUGUCACAUACAAAGCUGUGGUUUUAUUAUAGAUUAACUUGUGACAUUUUUAACUUUCCCGAAGCAAUUUUGAAAUGAAAGUUAGAAUAAAAGCUUACACAAUGUUUGUUCCACGAAGCAGUAAUUGAUGAAAAAAUGUUUGAUGAGUAAAAGUUAUGGACCUCUCGUUGGCAAUUAAACAUUAUUCAUGGACAAAUUUCACGCUAAGAAACUGGGGUUGUCGUGUUUUAUGAUUCAGAAAGAGUGGGCAAUGCUUGUAGCAGUGUGAAAUGGAGCUUGAGCUCAGCAACAAAAUAAUUUCUUCUCGUAUACCAGCAACAACUUAUUCCUGAUUCCUCUAAGGAAAAACCAGCUUAAACUGGAAAAGAAAAAUCAGAAAAACACAGACUUUCUCUGCAAUGUAUAGUAAAUGACACUUGUUAACACUUGCAUUUAAGGUAGCAGUCAGUUUACUGUAGUCCACAGUAAGGUUUAUAAUCUUCAUGGUAGUCUUUGAUACUUCUCUUUUACAAGAAACCACCAAAGAUAAAGCAUAAUUGAAGAAUUCUGUGGUAAAGAUGGUGAUCAGUUGCCCUUUCACCUUGUCAUUUCUCUAUUGUGAGCUUCAAGAGAGGGUGAUAAAAUAUCUUGCUGGCAAAAAUGCUACAUUGUGUGGGAUUUUUUCACUGUUAAACUCUAUUUUAUAAAUAAAAGCCAAAUUCCACAUGUGAUGAAUCCUUUUUAUUCUGUUGUAGUACAGGCUUGUAAAAGGUUAAACUAAAGUGGUCUGAUUCUAUUUUCAAUGUAUAUUCUAUGGACAAAAAGGAAAAAAAAGCAGAUACAAUGCCUUUUUUUUAUAAUCAUGUCUUUGUUUGGCAAGUUCAGCCUGUAAAAUUGUAUAAAUUGGAAUAUCAUUCAAGGUUAAUCCAAGGUUAUCCAUGAAAUAGUGGCAGAUUUAUGCGAUGUCA